GCACAAAGCUCAUAAAUGGAUAGGAAAGUAUAGGAAAAGUUAAGAAAUACACCAGAAUUAACGGGACAGAAAGCUCAUGAAGGGAUAGAAGAAUAUGGGCAAGUGAAAUAGGAAUCGAAGUGAAAGG